ACGGAAGGCAGCAGUGGGGAAUAUUGCACAAUGGGCGAAACCCUGAUGCAGCGAUGCCGCGUGGAGGAAGAAGGUUUUCGGAUUGUAAACUCCUGUCUUAAAGGACGAUAAUGACGGUACUUUAGAAGGAAGCUCCGGCUAACUACGUGCCAGCAGCCGCGGUAAUACGUAGGGAGCAAGCGUUAUCCGGAAUUACUGGGUGUAAAGGGAGUGUAGGCGGGACUGUAAGUCAGAUGUGAAAUAUACCGGCUCAACUGGUAGACUGCAUUUGAAACUGCGGUUCUUGAGUGAAGUAGAGGUAAGCGGAAUUCCUAGUGUAGCGGUGAAAUGCGUAGAUAUUAGGAGGAACAUCAGUGGCGAAGGCGGCUUACUGGGCUUUAACUGACGCUGAGGCUCGAAAGCGUGGGGAGCAAACAGGAUUAGAUACCCUGGUA
rnacentral:rRNA from 1 species